UGUAGUUCUCCACUGUGAGGCAAUUUCCGUACAGUUCACCGUUCGAGCCAAAAAAAAGGCAGAUUGGGUGCAUAUUGAAUGUAGGCUUGAGUCCUUAGAGAAUUCGUGUCCUCGACCUGGCUCAAACAUCGCAAGUACACCAUGUGCGUGGGUGUAGUCGACCUUACAUUGUAAAUAUCAGCAUAUACCUAAACAGAGCGACGGUCUUGCUUACGGGCAACUGAAGAACGCAUCCAACCGGAAGUUCAGGAACAAUUCAUCAUCCGUGGGUCAACGCUCUGUACGAAGUGAUGACAAGUGUUUGUGUGUGAGGGAAGGGGAGGGGGGGAGGGAGGGGGAAUCGGACGCCG